rnacentral:rRNA from 1 species
UACGUAGGGGGCAAGCGUUGUCCGGAUUUAUUGGGCGUAAAGAGCGUGUAGGCGGCCAGGUAGGUCAGCUGUGAAAACUCGAGGCUUAACCUCGAGAUGUCGGCGGAAACCGUCUGGCUAGAGUCCGGAAGAGGAGAGUGGAAUUCCUGGUGUAGCGGUGAAAUGCGCAGAUAUCAGGAAGAACACCUAUGGCGAAGGCAGCUCUCUGGGACGGUACUGACGCUGAGACGCGAAAGCGUGGGGAGCGAACAGG